UACGGAGGGUGCGAGCGUUGUCCGGAUUUAUUGGGUUUAAAGGGUGCGUAGGCGGCCCGAUAAGUCGGGGGUGAAACCCACAGGCUUAACCUGUGGAGUGCCCCCGAUACUGUCGGGCUUGGGUUAUCUCUAGGCGGGCGGAAUGGAAGGUGUAGCGGUGAAAUGCAUAGAUAUCUACCAGAACGCCGAUAGCGAAGGCAGCUCGCUGGGGAUAUACCGACGCUGAGGCACGAUAGCGUGGGGAUCAAACAGG
rnacentral:rRNA from 1 species